CAGGCAUUGUCUGCCAUUCUACUGAUUUUGGGGGUAUUUAGCUAAAGUGUGGCAGUGAAUUUCAGUUUCAAUGGCAACAUUAUAAAUGUAUUAUACCAUUUUACUUGUGUUGUUGAACUUGAUCUGUUUCUUUUUAUGCUAAUGCUAUUUGGUUUGUGAACUCAACUUAUGUAUGAACUUAUUCUAUAUUUGAAAUUCUAUGUCAAGUUUGAAAAGACGUUUCAACGUUCGUUUAAACGUUUAAACGUUGAAAAGUUGGUUCAUAACGUUUUAACGUUUUACCGCUUUAAUAACCAUGCCAUUUAUAUUAUAUAUGUAGUCAUACACAAGUGCACGUUUACCUGCAACUCUGCAUUUACAUGCAUAUUUAAGUGUUGUUUUGUUUUAUUCAUCUCACAUUUAAUUUUUGACUUUAUUGUGCAAUCAAUUAAGAAUUUCAUAGUAGUUCUAAACACAUUGGAGGUCACAAAGGAUAAGAAGGUCGAAGCCUAUAUGGUGUUCAAGGACCCUGAGUCCCUGACAAUCGACAAAUUUUCUUGAGUGCGUGCAGUGAUGAUAGAGAGGUUGUAUUGAUGUGGUUGAGGGAUGAGAUGACUAAGCAGGUCUCUAUGGAGCUGAAGUGUUAUGUAUUGGCAGCGUGACUGGUACUUGACAAUACUCUAGAUUAACCGAACAACAGUUUGAGCCAGGGAUUAUAGCCAAAAGGGAUUAUACCCCCAAGGGGUUCAAGUGACAAAGAGGGGAUUAACUCAAUCCCUCCUGGAUUCAAUACCUCUCUGGAAUAAAAACCUGUAAACCGAACAUGCCCCUAGGGAAGUAAUCCAUUGCAAACGAACAUGCCCUCAGGGUUUACUAUUGUGUCCGCUCCCACCGGGUCUGCGCAUCAGAGACCGACAAGACUGGGAAAUCCAGAGAUGCAUUUUUCUACCGAUCAGCUGAUCGGCUCGGCGUUCAUUGCCUUUGGGCUCACAUUGUUCGUGUGUUUCUUCUACGUUGCCGUCGUGUCCAAGCUGCUUCCGCCACAUCAAAAUGGAUUCCUGGCCGCCAUCCAAAACGACUGGUAUUACUGUCUGCUUGUGCCGUUGACGCUUCCUGUAAUAAUCGUGGCUGUCUACCUGCACUGGCUCAGCAUGAAGAUGUUCAAGCACGCAUGAAGCAGUCAUGCAGCUUCCUUCCGGUUUCAGAAUCCUGGUCAAAAUCGAGGUUGGUUUGGUUUAGCUGAAAGUGUCAAGGCAAUAGCCAAUUUGCUUAUAUACAGCCUGCAUUUUUUUUGCUGUCUCCAAGAUGUAAUCUGGCUAUCGAAUCACUGUACUAACAAACCCUGCAUCAAUACGAGCUGCAAUCCAUUGUUUCGCUUUACUCCAUA